UUUUGGCUGAAAAUGAAACCGGGUAACGGCUCCUGGGCCUCUCCCGGGUCAAGGGUCUCCAGGUCCCGCUGCCUCGGCGUGGAUCUCGGACCCAGAGACUCGGGGAGACCCGGGCGGUCCGUGGGGGAUGUGGAGGGGUAGUGACCUGCGCCCCCGGCCGGUGUCACUCACAGGCCUCACUCUGGUUGUAGUAGCCGCUCAGGGUCCGCAGGUUCACUCGGUAAAACUGUGCUUUGGCCUUGGCGGUCCCUGUCUCCUCUUCCCAAUAUUCCGGCCCCUCCUGCUCCAUCCACGGCGCCCGCGGCUCCAUCCUGGGACUCGUGGCGUCGCUGUCGAGCCGCACGCACUGCGUGUCGUCCACGUCGCCCACGGAGAGGAAGCGGGGAUCCGCGCGGCCGGGCCGGGACAUGGUGGUGUGGAAAUACCUCAAGGAGUGGAAGCCUGGGAGCAAGGAGGGGGCUGAGACCCUCCCGACCCUCCUCCCGGCACCGCAACCGGGUUCCUGCGCCCCCGCCGGGCAGGCCCCUAGCUACUCCCCACAGACGCCGUUUCCCUCCCGACCCCGCACUCACCUGCCCAGGUCUGGGUCAGGACCAGGGCCCCCGAGAGCAGCAGAAGCAGGGUUCGGGGCGCCAUGACACCAUCCUCGGCGACUGGGAAGAAUCGGAGUCCCGGUGGGUGCGUGGGAACUUUAGAACCGGGACCGCGGCUACAUUGAUUGGCUUCUCUAGAAACCCGACACUCAAUGGGAGUGAGAACUGGGGCAGCCCGGUGAGUACCCAGGAAGAAGGACCCGACACAGGUUGGGAGAGGGAGAAGAGAAACCCUGCAAAGAUGGGGAAUGCCCAGCGCUGGGCCUCCCCAAUCCAUACACCGCCUUUGGGGCCUGAGAUCCUGAGAGCCACGCCUGAGGCCCUGGGACUUCGCCCUGACCCCGCUACUUCUGUGCCAAGCGCUCUGUCUCAAUGUUUCCCUGAGUCUUGGCCCAGGAGCUGUCUGAGAAACCAGGGAGAAACCCUCGGAAUGGGCCCCGUCCCUCUCUCUUCACUUUGCAUCACGGAAUCCCCGUCCCAGAACUGGACUCCCUGCCUCCUACUCCUUACCUGUCCCCGUGGACUCUUCUAGAAGAAAAAUCACCCCAGGGAGCUUGUUGCCAGAGAGUGAGCUUGCCCUGGGAAUGGAGGUGUAGAGACAGGGUUUUUUGUUGUUGUUGUUUGUUUGUUUUUUAAAUCUGGAAAAGUUGUGCCUGAGUGCAUGAGAUAGAAUAGAGACCAGUUUGCUUUUUGUUUAUUAACUACAGUGGGUAGCAGAAUCUUGGUAACUCCUAAUGAUCAGGAAUCUAAUCGGCCAAAAAUGUGACUUUGGUCCCUUGACAUAUAAAUGUGUCUAAAAGCAUUACAACAGGAAUCACAAAGCUCCUAAGUUUCACUUUCCCAGACAAUGUAUCUGUGACUCCCGCUUGUAGUAUUUUAAAUUUACCUUCAUUCCAUAGCCCUGAGUUUCUGUGUGAGUCCAGGACAUCUCCUAAUACAAGGUAGCCACUGUGUUACUAUAUGUUGUAACCAGGAGCCAGUACGGACUUUAUUCAUCUCACAGUGGCAAGCACUCAAUGCAGUCACAAUGCCCCUCACCAGUGCUCAUGCACUGCCUGUUUUUAGGAAGUAUCCACUUCUAAGUGUUGUGUAUAUUUUAUAUGAACACUUAGUAUUUUUUAAACCUGAUUAACAUAAAAAAAUUAGUUUUUAGGCAGACCCACAUAAGGUAUUAAAGGCCAACUGCAAAGAUCACCCUGCAAGGCUCUGUAGAUUGAUGUAUUAAAAUAUAUAAAACAAUGUGUUUAAACCUGAGUUCUGCUGCUUUCGAAUUCUUUCCCUCUGCUCCAUUUCCUCACCUCCUGCAUCUCCAGCCCUUCCCUCCAUUCCUCUCAUGCCUCAGGCCCUCCUCUCCCCUUAGUCCCCACCACCUUGUCACUCCUUAUUUGUGACACUAGCACUGUCCCAUUACCUGCUACGUGACUGUUCUCUGCACAGUGGUCCUGCUCCUGUGAGUCAGAGUGUGUCAUUUCUCCACCUAAAACAUUCCAC
rnacentral:lncRNA from 1 species